rnacentral:rRNA from 1 species
GACGAACCGUGCGAACGUUAUUCGGAAUCACUGGGCUUAAAGGGCGCGUAGGCGGGCCGAAAAGUCAGGGGUGAAAUCCUCCAGCUCAACUGGAGAAGCGCCUUUGGUACUGUCGGCCUCGAGGGGUGCAGGGGCAUGCGGAACUCAGGGUGGAGCGGUGAAAUGCGUAGAUAUCCUGAGGAACACCGGUGGCGAAAGCGGCGUGCUGGACACCUUCUGACGCUGAGGCGCGAAAGCCCGGGGAGCGAACGGGG